CUAGCUUCGCGGCCUUUGGCUAAGAUCAAAGUGUAGUAUCUGUUCUUAUCACUUAAAUAUCUUGAUAACGAUCCCCAUGUGGGAUCUACGAUAUUAAACUGAUGUUUGAAAUGGCGAAGUGUAGGAGCGCUGCUCCACCUUGCCGCGGAUACGACCCGUAUGCUGUACCAUCGGGAUUGGUCCACUCCCU